rnacentral:lncRNA from 1 species
ACCCGCCAGAGGGUCUGUACAGACCUCGCUUCCAUCCAUAAAGGCGGAUUCUCCUUCAUGGCAGUGGUCUGUGGAGUGCAUGGAGGAGCAGUUUCCUUGCUGUGUGGACUGCAGGGAAGGUGUGAGCCUGUCGGUGCCUUGCGGGGCCUCUCCAAGCCUGGCUGUCCCAGAACCUGGUGAAGCGAGGAGAUGGGGGAACCGCCACUCCCUGACCUCUGACCCUGGUGAGCUUGUAUUUCUCUUCCACAUCAAGAAUCCAGUCCUCACAAGGCCGGCUCUGGAACUCUCUGCUCACAGGCUUCCUGGCCAGACACUCAGUGACCAGGCUCUGGAUCCAUUGGGUUUUCUGGAAAAAGAGACAUUAUUUGAUCUAUUUAUUAAGGCCAAACAUGUCCUCGCAGCCCCAGAGCCAGGGGUGACUCUGCCCGGGAUGAUUAGUUGGGUUGAACGUCACUCAUCCUUCUCUCUCCAAGGCCUUCCUUCCACGGCCGUUGGCUUCUGA